CAGCCCCUGCCGGUGCCCGGAGCCGCUCGCCGCCGGCCGCUUCUGCUGAAUGGACUGAAAGCCCCGGAGCAGGAUGAGGAGCCUGAGAGCGCCGCGGAGCAGAGGCAGAGUGCUAAUCCCCAGCCUCUCCCGGGAGAAGUCAUAUAGCAUGCCAGGACUUGGGGGACCAACCAAGAAAUCAAGGAUCCAGCCUUCCUGGUAAGCAACGCAAGCUGCACAUGCUCCAGGAAAAGAAAAGCCAGCAUCUUCCAAGAAUUUGCCAUGCCAGGUCUUGGGGAACCAACCAAGAAAUCAGCAAUCCAGCUUUCCUGAAUUGUGAAAUACUUAAAGAAAGGAAAGAGUGGAAAUCCAGGCCAUUAUCAUCACACCCUUGAAAUAGAAGAUUUCAAGAUUUCUGCUCUCUCUUUUUCUAUUUCUAGCAUGACAUACGGGGCUUUUUCUGCCACACACUCCCACUAUGAUUAAAUGCCUCACCACAGGCUCAAAAGCAAUAAUGCCAACCAGCUGUGGACUAAAAAGCCCAACCAUGUGAGCCAAAAUAAACCUUUUUCUCUAUAUACACCAAAAUAUCUCAGGUACUUGUUGCAGUAAUCAAAAGCUGAUUACCACAGAUACUUGUAACCAUGAAACUGUUACUGCAAUCUAGGUACCAAAUUGUGAAAAUUUAGAAAAUUAUUAAAUUUCCAUGGUUUCAAAAUAUAUGAAUAUCUCAAUGUAAGCUUUGCUCAUUAACAGUGUUCAGACACAGCAAAAAAGUCACCAUUUCCUUUGCCCUUCUCUUACAUUUAUUCAGUAUCUACAUGACAAAUGCGUCACCCUAAAAUAUACCCUCUAGACCGUUAAACUUAAUAUUCACUACUUUUCACUAAUUCCUUAGGCUUUUGGCUAGCACCUCUAAAGAAAUAAAAUAAAUGGGAAACUGACAUUUCAAUAGGUUUUACAAGUGAUCUAAUUUAAUUUCCUUCACACAUGGAAAUAUCCUUUCUAAAACACCUUUAGAGAUCACUGCAUGUAUCAAUGGCUAGCUUAGUUAAAUAAUUCAUUCAUAUAAAUCAGGAUUUAAUCAACCUCAGCACUAUUGAUAUUUUGAGACAGGUAAUUCUUGGUGGGGCGAGUGCUACAGGAUGCUUAGUAAUAUUUCUGGCCCCUUCCCACUAGAUGCCAAAUAUCACCCUCUCAUCUUGAAUUAUUAAACUAAAAAUAUCUCCAGACAUUGUCAAAUAGAAAUUGCCAUUACAUAUAUGAUGCAUGCUAAGUUGAGACCCACUUAUAUAAAUUGAUGGUGAAAGUUAAUCAUUAAAAUUAAUUCAUAUGUGGAACAUUUCAAAUAAUCUUCAUCUGAGCUUUUAACCUGAAUCUGUAUCUGCUUUUAGCAAACCAAGGAAUAGCAGAGAGGUAGCUUCUGUCAUAUUAUAAUACUAAGAGAUUGACUGUUAAGAGAGAGAGUUAUAAGCUAAAUACAGCACUGGAAAGAAAAACCCAUUGCAUUCUUAGCCAGAGCUUCCUGUUCCCUGUGUCUCUGACAUUCUCAUCUAGCAAUUUCAAAAAGUUAUACUGAUAACUCCAGAUUUUAUAUGAUGCCCUCUUCAUGUUUGGAUUUCAAGUUAAUUGUCAAAGAAUGGAACAAUGAAAGAAUUAAUGAGCCAUUUUCACUGAGCUUUGAUAUAAAAGUUAACAUACAAUGACUAGAUAUAGACUCUAUCCAAGAAAAUAAAAGAGUAUUAGCAAUUACAGUAUUAACCCACUCUUUAUUUCCUUAAAAUAUCCUUUAAAGGUGCUUUCCAAUUUUUCCCCCCUAUGUAAUUAAUGAAAAAGUGAUGUAUAUGCAAUGUGCAGAAUUUUCCUCCUUAAACAUUUACUUUAAAUCCCAAUAAAUAAUAAAUGACAUCCUUUAAGAUUUGAUAAAGACCUCUUUUCAUAAUCAUUGAAACAAUAAAAGGUUAGCCAAUAAUUUAAUGUUUUGGUAAGUAGUUAGAGAUGUAGUGAUAUAAUUUGCUAGGAUGGUACUUGAAAAGUUUUGAUUAUUUAGUAGUAAGCAAAAUAAUAUGACUUUUCUGAAAACAAUAGUGUAUAUAAAUUUAUAUGACUUUUCUGUAAACUAGAAUUUAUAAUCACUUCCAGUAAACAAAACAUAGAACCAAUUACUGAAAUGUCUGUUAUGGGAAAUUUAAAAUGUUAACUUAGUUCUUAGUUUUAUAGCUGUGCAUGACCUGACUUUUAAGAUAAAGUAUCUUCAUGCUCAAUUAUUAAUAACAGAUUAAUAUGUUAUCCUUGUUUUCACUGAACAGUGUAUGGAAAUACCAUGCUAAAUAUAUAACUGUACAUUACAUUCUUAUAUAUUACAUUCAUAUAUAUAUAUAUAUAUAUAUAUAUGUAUAUGCUACACUCUUAGAGCUCCCUAAAUGUUACAUCCUUGGCUAUUACAAAUUGGGAAAGAUCUAUAACCUCUCUAAGUCUCAUGUCUCCUCAUGUGAAAAAUGGGGAUAAUAGUAUGAUAGUUGUAACUUUAUUACUGAGUGAUUUUAAAAUUAAAUAGUAGUGGUGUGAUAAUACUAAGAGCAAUUUCUCAGCACAGUACUUAAUUUAAAUAACAUUAAAUGUCUUCAUGUAUUUCUAGGUAGAAUUAUUGUGUCAUAGUAAGUUUUGUCUAGAAACUUACAUGAAUACUGUUCUAACUGUCACACAUCAUUUUGGAACUGUGUGCUGUGGUAGUCCCUUAUACAAUUCCUUUCUUGUAUCCAUGUUUGUAGUCGGUUCCCUUUCAUGUUGAUGAGGCUUAUCCGUGUAACUUGGUUUGGUUAAUGGAACAUUAGUAAAUGUGGUACUACCGAGACUUGAAGAGUGUUCAUGCAUUUGGAAUUUUCCCACUCUUACUAGUGCUGGGAAAAUUGUGAGCACCACCUAGAGAAUCAGCCCUAUCCACUGCAUGGUAAGUGGAACACGAUCCAGUUACCUCUACUGUCCUUGCAAACAGCUACCAGACAUGUAAGUGAGAUCAUCAGCCCCUCACUGACUGCAAGUUUCUGAAUGAGCCCAGCCAGUACAGUCAGGAGCAGAGACCACUGAAGCUGAGCUGAACCCAAAUUUAUGACACAUAGAAUGAUAAAUAAAAUGAUUAUUUUUGAAGCCACUCAAAUUUAAAAUGGUUUGUUACACAGCAAGACUAAAUGAUGAAGUCCCUGUAGGCAAUAUAAAUUAGUACUAAAAAGUUAUAAUUCAGAAUGCAGUUAAAUUUACAUUCCUAAACUUAAAAUACUGACUCACCAAUAAAAUGGUAUAAAAAUAAUAGCAAUAGCAUAAAGGAAUAGAACUAAUAAACUGACACCUGUCUUUGAUUUUAAACAUUGGACAGUGAUAUGACAUCUAAAGGUAAAAUUUUUUUCCAUAGAACAAUUAGAAUAGACAAAUUUUUCUUCAGUAGUAACUCUGGUCUAUGGAGCAGUGACAUCUUUUGCUGUCAUGUUUAGAGAUCCAGGUCAUUUCCAGUUUUGAUGGUGGGCAGGAUUACAUAUGCAUCUUAUUAUUUGCAAGCUUAGUCACAGAUUAGAUGUAUACUUGGAAAACUUGUGCGAAGUGUCCAGUAUUUAUACUGCCUAUCUCUCUACAAGGCCCAGAGUUAAGACUUAUUUUUCAUUUAUUAGCAACUUUUUGAACAUUUUCAGUUGAAAUUGUGAAACUGUCAUUAAAAAAAACAUGACAAUACGUGCUUGUCCUCACUAAAAAGAUAGACUUCCCUUUUAAGAGCGCAGAGAAGGAUGUUUGAAUAUAACCACUCUGAUUCUCUCCACCAUUCUAAUUCCACAAUAAUAGCUGCAAUUUAGUGGUUAUCACCACAGGAAUGAACAGCCAGGAAGAAGGCUCCUGAUGAAGCCUGCUGACUUCUUUACUCUCUUAAAACAUUAUAUAGAGGCGAGGUCAUGAGUUCGAUCCCAGGACCAAAACAAAACAUCAUCUAAAAAAGAUGUUUGCAAACGCAACAGACUAACCAGAGUCAAUGCAAGAAAGAAGUAAAUAUAUAAAAAAAACUGCCUGACUAAUUUAAACCAAUGUUUGUUGUAGUAUUCUACUUUCUUUUUAUUACUGAUAUUACUAUUACUAUGACUAUUAUCAUUACUACUACUAUAUUAGCCUGUUGAGAAAAGAUGUGUCUGUGGUACAUUAUUUCCAAAAAUCACUACGAUAAUUCUCUUCCCAUAUUUAUGGCUUUGGGAAACCCCCCUCACAUGACUCUAGGUUAUGCUACGUAACGUGCUCUGGUCAAUGGGAAAAUAAUAAAUGUGACACAAGCUUAGACUUGAAAGUCUUCAUGCAUUUGGGAUUUACCCUCUACACAUGAAACUUUUCUCAUAUUCUCCCAUAGUUCCAAAUAACCCCUUAUUAAUAGCUCUUAUUAAGUAUUCAUUAUGUGCCAGAUGAUAUGCUAGUACUCUGCAUAAGUUAGCUUAUCAACUUUAACCUCAUAAUUCUAAGGUAGGCCACAUGCCCAUUUCACAGAUGUGGCAACUAAAUAUUAGUUAAAGCAUUUUGUCUGAUAUUAUACUAUAUCUAGGUUAUGGAGCCAGUUUGGGAACCUGGAUUCGGUGAUUAAAAGUGCAGUCUGUUUGCCCACCAAGCAUCAUGCCUCCUAGCAUUCAAAUGCGUUUCUGUGUGUCCUUCAAGCCACGUCCUUGGAUAUAAAUUCCCAUAUCAGUAUCUUUAGCAUAGUGAUCUUGAGCAAUUUCCUUAACAUCUGUAGACUCAGGUACCUCACUAACAUGGUUUGCACUCAAAGUUACAGAGAGAUAAGGAUGACUUACUUGAAAUCAUAUAAUUAAAGCUGGGCUUAACAGACUGGUUCAUAAAGGUUGAUAAAGGAGAAGCCUUGGAUGCAGGGACAUAUCACAAAUGGUAAAGAACUCUGAUCCUGGUGAGGGUAAGUUAUACCCACCCCUAAAAUGUAGGAGAAAGGGAGGGGCUUAAGAGAUACUGAGAAAAAGGGUAUUUUGAAAAGCUCAGAGAAAUCAGGACAAAGUCCCAGCCCGAACUAGGGAAAGAAUAAUGAAGGCUUUGGAAAUGAUUAGUGUCCAUCACUCGAUCUUCUCUUACUCUGAUCUCCUGCCAGUGCUUCCCAACAGCAAAAGUCAUAGAAACCCCAGGAAAAAGCAGCCCUACUGAGGUUCAUGUGUGUCAGCUUCCCAGAUCAGAAAACAAGUGGAGAAGUUAGAAAUAGAAUUACAGGAGCAAAUAGAAGACAGUGAGUCACAUACGGGAAUAAUAUCCCCUUACAGAUUUUUAGCAAUGACUAAACCACCUAAGGGACAUGAAACA